rnacentral:tRNA from 1 species
GGCGCGAUAGCAAAGCGGUUAUGUAGCGGCCUGCAAAGCCGUUUAGGCCGGUUCGACUCCGGCUCGCGCCUCCA